rnacentral:rRNA from 1 species
UACGUAGGUGGCAAGCGAUACUCGGAAUCACUAGGCGUAAAGCGCAGGUAGGCGGUUUGAUAAGUCUUUUGUGAAAGCUCCUGGCUUAACUGGGAGAGGUCAAAGGAAACUGUCAGACUAGAGUUUGGUAGGGGAUACUGGAAUUCCUGGUGUAGCGGUGAAAUGCGUAGAUAUCAGGAGGAAUACCUAUGGCGAAAGCAGGUAUCUGGGGCCACAACUGACGCUGAGCUGCGAAAGCUAGAGGAGCAAACAGG